UGAGGAAUAUUGGUCAAUGGGUGCAAGCCUGAACCAGCCAUCCCGCGUGAAGGACGACUGCCCUAUGGGUUGUAAACUUCUUUUGUAUAGGGAUAAACCUACCCUCGUGAGGGUAGCUGAAGGUACUAUACGAAUAAGCACCGGCUAACUCCGUGCCAGCAGCCGCGGUAAUACGGAGGGUGCAAGCGUUAUCCGGAUUUAUUGGGUUUAAAGGGUCCGUAGGCGGACUUAUAAGUCAGUGGUGAAAGCCUGUCGCUUAACGAUAGAACUGCCAUUGAUACUGUAAGUCUUGAGUAGAUUUGAGGUAGCUGGAAUAAGUAGUGUAGCGGUGAAAUGCAUAGAUAUUACUUAGAACACCAAUUGCGAAGGCAGGUUACCAAGAUAUAACUGACGCUGAGGGACGAAAGCGUGGGGAGCGAACA
rnacentral:rRNA from 1 species